rnacentral:rRNA from 1 species
UACGUAGGGUGCGAGCGUUGUCCGGAAUUAUUGGGCGUAAAGCGCGUGUAGGCGGUCUGAAUAGUCUGCUGUGAAAGCGCCUGGCUUAACCGGGCGAGGUCGGCGGAAACUCUCAGACUGGAGGCCGGUAGAGGGGGGUGGAAUUCCCGGUGUAGUGGUGAAAUGCGUAGAGAUCGGGAGGAACACCUGUGGCGAAGGCGGCCCCCUGGGCCGCGCCUGACGCUGAGACGCGAAGGCUAGGGGAGCGAACGGG